UUGCUCAGCAAACCAACGUCUGUCCGGAGUGGGGAUUAUUUGGGCAAUGCGCAAUGCCAGUAAGUCCAUAAGAUGGUGGUAAGUCCUUCACGGGAUAACGAAAGAGCUGCGAGAGCUGCCUCAUCUACUCUGCCAACGAGGAAAUUGCAGUGCUCCGGAUUUCGGUGGUACGGAUUCUAGCCAGCAAAGUCUCCGGAUGCAGAUGCUCCAUUCCGCUGCCGUUAACCAUCCACCCGGAAGAGAUCGCCAAUAAGGUACCAACACUCCAUUUGGAUAGCGAUCUGGUUCGAGCGGAGAGUAUGGAAGCCGAUGUCGAGGAAUCGGGCGUAGAGGGCGUAGAAUUUUCAGGGGCCAGGAUUCAUACAACGCCUACGAGAUGUGUUAACAUCAGCAGCAAAGGUUUACGCUUUCUUCCCGGAGCACAGUAGCAGUAACGCUGGACAAAGGCCAUACUAGCCGGAAAUGAGUGAUCUUCAUGGAAGAGAAACUGGGCGGAAUGACAGAUCUAUGCAAUAUAUUUGCGCUUUGCGGCAUGGCUCCGGAAGCGAGAACCAACGUUGUUUGUGAGAAAUAUUGGCGAGCUGCCAAUCACGCAUGAGUUUCGACACGGUGAACAACAUGAAGCGGAAGUGGCUGUAUAAGUACUUUUUCCCAGUUCCUGUCUGCAAGCUGAGCCGAUUUUGUUCUGGCAAGAAAUCACGCACGUUAAAAUAGAUGACAUUCGAAAAGCUCCAAGAUCGAUAAAGGACUAUCAGGAUCACAUUACGUUGGAGCGUCAUCUAUCCUUCAAGAAUAUUACCCAUAACUUGGAAAUAGUGUUGCUGCGGCAUCGCAACAAGAAGAACGGCAUCGAACCGGAUUAUGACCAGUACGAGACGUGGAUAUGUGAGAGGCGCUUCAUAGAGGGAUGACAAAGAAAAAUUAACGCUUGAAACGCGUCACACAUUCC